UACCUUCUUACUCAGCAGUUAAGAUGCUUAGGUGCAUUCUGACUAACCUUCUGGCUUGGCGGGCUGAGAUAAUUUUUACUGCUUUUCUUGCCUGUUAACCCUGCAGAAUUAAAAGAAUAGCUGUAAGAGAGGAAGCUGGAUAUUGGUCCUUUCUGUACUGAAUUGACAAAAUUGUAUUCUAAGUUUCAGAUAGUCAUAGUGAACAAACCACAGGAUCAAUUAGUAACUGUCCUUAAAGGAAACCCCUGGGUUGUGCUUCAGAGUUUGGGUCUUCAUAUUAGGCAGUGGUGCCAGGAAAGGAAAGCUGUGGUCACAUCCCAGGACUGACAGCAAGGAAAGCUCUGCCUUCCUUAAGGGAGGACAGAAGUUGCUGUGAAACGUUCCUGGAAAUGAAAGAGAAGGAGGAAAAGGAUCUUUGAGUAUUAGCUGGUCACACACAAUGAACUGCUAAAAGUAAUGAUUAAUUCAAAUGGAAACAGGUGUAAGAAUGGCCUCUAGGAUUUUCUGGAGAAUAAAGAUACUAUCACCAGAAAUUUGGUCUUAAAAACUUUGCCGAGGAAAAUGGAGACUGGGAAGGAAUCUGUCCAGAAACACACCUGGUGGUAAGCAACAGGUGCUCUUCGGUUGCCACCAGAUGGCAACAGAAAUCCGUCUAAGCGCGGCAGGAUUCUGCAGCGACUGCUCAAUUCCUGCUGCUUUCCUGCCUGGAAGGUUUGCAGGGGCGUUUUGCACAGCCUGCCUACCAAAAAGGAAAGGAAAGAGAGAACAAAACAAGCCGGCGUGAUUUUCUCGUCACCAGGCACGCAGAUGGUGGGGUUUGUGCAGCUCGGGGCAGCGGCGGAGCGCUGCUGUGUGAUGUGGCGUGUGUUCCUGAUGAAGAGGAGCAUGGAUGUGCCAACCCGCUCUGCAGUCAGCUGCUGCUGACUAUUGCAGAUGUGUUCUCGGUGACCCAGAAACGAAAAUAGCUAAGGGUGAACUCAGGACAGGCGUUGAGGUAGACGAGCAGGCUUCGGGAGAGCCCCGAGGAGCAGGGGGGUGCAGGGCUGCAUAGCUGUCAGUUAAACAUUGCGGGAAGUCAGCCAUCUCCUCCGUAGCCUCUGUCACGAAGCGGCAGCAGUCCUGCCCUUCUAUUUUGCAACAGGUCCCUCCUAAAAGAAGUGCUGCCACAUCUUUAGCCCCCUGCCCCCAGGCACAGGCGCAUCGCUUAGCAACCCCUGCCUGAGACGAGCGGGAGAGCCGGUUUCCAGGGGCAACAGGCGCAUUUUUACAUCAUAAAUAACUGUUCGGGUGCUCCCGAACACCUCCCGUCUGCUCUGGCUGGGCUCACAGCGUCAGACAGCUGGAAACUGAAUCCCUAAAAGUGGCCCUUUUUUCCAGGAAUGGCAGAGGUGAGCUUGGAAAGAGGGCUUCCCUGUAACGCACACAGCUGAUGUAGCUAAUAAAGCUAAUUUGGCUAAAUCAGCUAAUUCAAGAGACGGGGUGGCUCAUCUGCCUAGUCCUGGCAGCCUUAGAGUCACUCAGGGAACACGAAAAGCAAGAUAAAGGAAGGAAGAAAGGAAAAGAAAGGAAGGGAGACUGGUGAGGGAAACGGAGAAAAGAAAACAGGGAGUGGGUGGGAGAGCUGGGGUGAGGAGAGGCAGUGCGUGGAAUGACUGGGAGGGCAGCUGGGAAGCUCCAUGAUGAGCAUCAGAGAGUGGGGUGCAGAUGGGAGGUUUGGGGAGUGAACGUGUGUUGGAAGGAAUGCUUUCCAUGAUUUAAGUACCCCAGGAAACCUGUCUAAAACUUGAAACUAAAAGCAAGACAAAGGGAAUUUUAAAUUGCAAAAAGAUCUAGAGCUGGGGAACCUUAGGAAAAAUGAGACUUGGCUGUAAGCCAGCAGUCCUAGGGCACAGGAAGGAGAUCAGGAAACUCUUCAAUACACAUGCCACAGACAUGAUGUUCAUUGCAGAUCCCCUGCAACAAAACAGUGAGAGCCCUGCUGUAGCCAAAUAAUAGUGUUUUCUAUAUUGUAUUGUCAACAGAAAAGCUCUAGGAAAUUUUACAGAUCUGUGUACAUCUGGAGAGCAGGCCAAGCUCUUCAUGCCUGUUAAAACAAGAUCAUACAUCAGUAUUUAAGUGCAAAAGGAUACAGCUAAAUAAACUUUGUCACGCUAUUUUGCGUUAUCCACACUACAUUA